CUUACUUUUGUUAAUAUAUGCUUUGAAAUGAGCAGCAGUAAAUACUAAAAUAAUUGAAACAGCUAUAUUAGCUGAGCAGAUCAUUAAAAUUUUACUUAGUGUGUUAAAUACACCACAUCAAACUUCCACCUAACAUUACUGUUUUAAGGUUAACAGACUAAUAAUUGUUGAAUGGGUUGAAACAUACCUUUAGAUUUGAUGCCAAAUCACUGAACAUGUGAG